AUUGAACGCUGGCGGCAUGCCUUACACAUGCAAGUCGAACGGCAGCACGGGAGCUUGCUCCUGGUGGCGAGUGGCGAACGGGUGAGUAAUACAUCGGAACGUACCCUGAAGUGGGGGAUAACGUAGCGAAAGUUACGCUAAUACCGCAUAUUCUGUGAGCAGGAAAGAGGGGGAUCGCAAGACCUCUUGCUUUAGGAGCGGCCGAUGUCGGAUUAGCUAGUUGGUGAGGUAAAGGCUCACCAAGGCGACGAUCCGUAGCGGGUCUGAGAGGAUGAUCCGCCACACUGGGACUGAGACACGGCCCAGACUCCUACGGGAGGCAGCAGUGGGGAAUUUUGGACAAUGGGCGCAAGCCUGAUCCAGCCAUGCCGCGUGAGUGAAGAAGGCCUUCGGUGUAAGA
rnacentral:rRNA from 1 species